AAAUUUGUAUUUUUGUCCUCUUUGGGGCGCUGAUGAUUGCUUCAGCCGGUGAUAUUAAUGCACCAAUAUGUUUGUGCGAUGAACCAGAAGAUGUUGCGAUUAUUGGAAGAAAAAAAAAUACCAUUACGCCGGAUCUUCAAGACAAAAUUACAAAUGAACUUGAACAAGCACUUGCGCUGAACGGCACCGAACCGGAUAAAGAUGCUAUAGGCGGAAGAAGCAAAGCACGCCUGUGGUAUAUACUUAAACUUUCUAAGCAAUGUGGUA